rnacentral:rRNA from 1 species
UACGUAGGGUGCGAGCGUUAAUCGGAAUUACUGGGCGUAAAGUGUGCGCAGGCGGCCGAGCAAGUCGAGUGUGAAAGCCCCGAGCUUAACUUGGGAACUGCGCUCGAACUACUUGGCUAGAGUGUGGCAGAGGGAGGUGGAAUUCCACGUGUAGCGGUGAAAUGCGUAGAGAUGUGGACGGAAGCACCGAUGGCGAAGGCAGCCUCCUGGGCCAACACUGACGCUCAUGCACGAAAGCGUGGGGAGCAAACAGG